rnacentral:rRNA from 1 species
AAAGGAAUAGACGGGGGCCCGCACAAGCGGUGGAGCAUGUGGUUUAAUUCGACGCAACGCGAAGAACCUUACCAGGGCUUGACAUGUCACGGAUACUUUAGAGAUAAAGUAGUGCCCUUUUAGGGAGCGUGAACACAGGUGGUGCAUGGUUGUCGUCAGCUCGUGUCGUGAGAUGUUGGGUUAAGUCCCGCAACGAGCGCAACCCCUAUGCUUAGUUGCCAGCACUAUGGGUGGGCACUCUAAGGAGACUGCCGGUGACAAACCGGAGGAAGGUGGGGAUGACGUCAAAUCAUCAUGCCCUUUAUGCUCUGGGCUACACACGUGCUACAAUGGCCGGAACAACGGGCAGCAAGAGGGUGACCUUGAGCGAAUCCCUAAAAACCGGUCCCAGUUCGGAUUGCAGGCUGCAACCCGCCUGCAUGAAGUCGGAAUCGCUAGUAAUCGUGGGUCAGCAUACCACGGUGAAUACGUUCCCGGGCCUUGUACACACCGCCCGU